GAUGAACGCUGGCGGCGUGCCUAAUACAUGCAAGUCGAGCGAACGGACGAGAAGCUUGCUUCUCUGAUGUUAGCGGCGGACGGGUGAGUAACACGUGGAUAACCUACCUAUAAGACUGGGAUAACUUCGGGAAACCGGAGCUAAUACCGGAUAAUAUUAUGAACCGCAUGGUUCAAAAGUGAAAGACGGUCUUGCUGUCACUUAUAGAUGGAUCCGCGCUGCAUUAGCUAGUUGGUAAGGUAACGGCUUACCAAGGCAACGAUGCAUAGCCGACCUGAGAGGGUGAUCGGCCACACUGGAACUGAGACACGGUCCAGACUCCUACGGGAGGCAGCAGUGGGGAAUCUUCCGCAAAGGGCGAAAGCCUGACGGAGCAACGCCGCGUGAGUGAUGAAGGUCUUCGGAUCGUAAAACUCUGUUAUUAGGGAAGAACAUAUGUGUAAGUAACUGUGCACAUCUUGACGGUACCUAAUCAGAAAGCCACGGCUAACUACGUG
rnacentral:rRNA from 1 species